rnacentral:rRNA from 1 species
UGUAAAACCCUUCCAGAGUAACAAUUGGAGGGCAAGUCUGGUGCCAGCAGCCGCGGUAAUUCCAGCUCCAAUAGUGUAUAUUAGAGUUGUUGCAGUUAAAAAGCUCGUAGUUGGAUUUCUGUCGUGGUCAGCCUGCACCGCCUGUAUGGGUGUGCGCAUGGUUUGCCCUCGGCUUAUUUCCGGUAGCCAUCCCGCGCUUAAUUGCGUGUGUUGUUGGUAUUUCUGGAACUUUUACUUUGAGAAAAAUAGAGUGUUUCAAGCAGGCUUGUCGCCCUGAAUACUGCAGCAUGGAAUAAUAAGAUAGGACCUCGGUUCUAUUUUGUUGGUUUCUAGGACCAAGGUAAUGAUUAAUAGGGACAGUUGGGGGCAUUCGUAUUUAACUGUCAGAGGUGAAAUUCUUAGAUUUGUUAAAGACGAACUACUGCGAAAGCAUUUGCCAAGGAUGUUUUCAUUAAUCAAGAACGACAGUAGGGGGUUUGAAGACGAUUAGAUACCGUCGUAAUCUCUACCAUAAACUAUGCCGACUAGAGAUAGGAAAACGCCUACCUUGGCUUCUCCUGCACCUCAUGAGAAAUCAAAGUCUC